GGACAGAAGGCCCAGGGUGCAGACCCUGCUUCCCAGUGGGAAAGGUUAUGCAACAACCUGAUAGCAUCAGAUUACAAACAACCAAGGUCUCCUAGAAGCUGAGGAUGCCAAAUUCAACAGAAUGUUUCCUCAUCACCAAAGGGGAGGAAAAAACAGUUCUGCUCUUCAAAUAAAACACACACACACACACACACACACACACACAGUUUCCAGACAGAAGAGCAAUCUGUCAGGGACAAACGAGGGUGCAGGCCAAGCCCAGGGGAGCACCCUCACUCCUGCACGGGGUAAGAAGAUGACUCCAGGAGACGCUGCCUCAUCCCAUCAGCUGAGCACGGCAGCUCGGCCAGGAAAGGAAAGGGAAGACGAGGAGGGGGGCCAAGGGGCCUGAGAACAGGACAAGGCAGCAUGGGGCCUGACGUGUGGGGCUGGCUGCAGGGCGGAAGAAGCAGGGCUCCGGGUACUGUUUGUCC